rnacentral:rRNA from 1 species
GAUGAACGCUGGCGGCGUGCCUAAUACAUGCAAGUCGAGCGAACAGAUAAGGAGCUUGCUCCUUUGACGUUAGCGGCUGACGGGUGAGUAACACGUGGGUAACCUACCUAUAAGACUGGAAUAACUCCGGGAAACCGGGGCUAAUGCCGGAUAACAUUUAGAACCGCAUGGUUCUAAAGUGCAAGAUGGUUUUACUAUCACUUAUAGAUGGACCCGCGCCGUAUUAGCUAGUUGGUAAGGUAACGGCUUACCAAGGCAACGAUACGUAGCCGACCUGAGAGGGUGAUCGGCCACACUGGAACUGAGACACGGUCCAGACUCCUACGGGAGGCAGCAGUAGGGAAUCUUCCGCAAUGGGCGAAAGCCUGACGGAGCAACGCCGCGUGAGUGAUGAAGGUCUUCGGAUCGUAAAACUCUGUUAUUAGGGAAGAACAAAUGUGUAAGUAACUGUGCACGUCUUGACGGUACCUAAUCAGAAAGCCACGGCUAACUACGUG